rnacentral:rRNA from 1 species
AUACGGAGGGUGCAAGCGUUGUUCGGAAUCACUGGGCGUAAAGGGCGCGCAGGCGGUUUGAUUAGUCAGAUGUGAAAGCCCACGGCUUAACCGUGGAAGUGCAUUUGAAACUGUCAGACUUGAGUAUCAGAGGGGAAAGUGGAAUUCCCGGUGUAGAGGUGAAAUUCGUAGAUAUCGGGAGGAAUACCGGUGGCGAAGGCGACUUUCUGGCUGAAUACUGACGCUGAGGCGCGAAAGCGUGGGGAGCAAGCAGGAUUAGAUACCCCAGUAGUCC